GGCGUGACCGCGAGUCACGGAUCUGAGGCAGGGACUGAGCAUGCACUGUGUGUGAGGUAGGGGGAGAGCGGGAACGGAGCGGGGGGAAAAGCAGAGACAGGAACCUGGGGCUGACAGCAUCGACGGGUGAUGGGCGGGGCCUGCGGCGGCUGCAGUCUUCUGCCCGCAGCGCCCCUCCGGAUGAGGCCCCCGCCCACCGCGCAGCGUGGACCUAAAGCCUCUGCAUUCCUUUAUCGAGGGGAAAAAAAAGCCUCAGACGCUGCCUCUGUCAGUUACGGGCGGAGGUGGUAGGGGAAAGAAAUACAGCCUCCCAUUGGAAGCCUCUGCCAGUCACGGCUGGGCAGGCGGGACUUCUGGCACUGUUUCCUGCUCCUGGAAACAGGGAGUGGAGAAGCUUCUCGAUUGGAAGCCGCUGCCGUCAAUUGUGGCCGAGCGGGCGGGACUUCCUGCCAAGCCCCCCAGAGUCUCUCUGCUGCUGCCGCAAGCGCCGCUGGCCCGGGGACCACAGAUUGGAAGCAGGCAGUCACUGGUCGUGGACAGGAAGACUCUCUCCGGCCAUCUCAGCUGUGGUCCUCUAACCUGUGCCUGUGAGCCACCAAGAGUGAACGGAAACUAGAAGCAUUGCCACCAACAACUGGAGCAGUGACCACACUGAAGUUUCUCUGGCGAGGGGGAAGGGGAGUAAGGAGAAAAAAAAAAAAAAGGCAAGUGAGCAAGCAAGCCAGCAAGCACAGGAGCACACUCUCGUGGAGGCCCACACCCUCCCUGUGCCUACCCAAGAUGUGUCAGUCAGAGAAGCAUCCAGAACCGGAGCUCCAAGCAGCAGCGAAAUAGUGAGAUGCUGCCCAUGAGACCUAACCCUCAAUGUACCCCGGCAUAAUUUCAGGAGGGUCAGACACCAAGUCCAGUGGCCUCAGGGGGGAGGGAGUGGCUAAAGGGGUCUGGAGAGGGAGUCCUCUGUGCCCCGAGUAGGAGACUCACUUCAGGUACCCAUGGCUCUGGCUGGGGGAAUGGGGUAAGGCAGGGGAAGCAGUGGGCUUCUAUCCUGUGUCUUGGUCUUUGGCAAGGGCACCGAGGCCCCCUUUUUCCUCCCUAGACCCCUGCUUCCUCUACCAGAUCCUCCCCCAAGCUCUUCUGGACUGGCAUCCGCUCUUCUGCAGUGACUUGGGAAGGGCAGCCCACAGGAGAAUGCUGAUUUGUCUUUGCUUGGUCCCUGCCACCUCCUCUUGUUUUUUAGAGACAUACUGGGGUCCUGUGGAAGAGAAAGGAGGAGAGCAGGACAGUUGGUGUGCUGUGGUCUUAGCCUGUGCCGCUCACCAGUUCUCUGUUGCAAUCCCCUUUUGUUCUUUGCUUUGCUCAGUUUCUAGGAGACACAGGACUCAGCUUCUCUUGAGCAAGGCUCAGAUGGCAGCCUUAGCUUGUUUAAUCAACUGUGCUUUUUCAAACAUCCUAGAGUGGGUUGCAGUAGAGUCUCAUGAUGCCCACUGUGUGACAGACAACUUAGUUGCAUUCAGGAAGCUGAGCUUACAGUGAAAAGGCCUCUCUGUGCCUUUGGAAAGCUGGCUGAAUAGAAGACAAUGACCUUGUAAAACUAGUGGGUCAUACAUGUGGUUGUAGCAGAGCAGGGAGGCAGCUUUCGAGCUAGGUGGAGAGCCUCCUGAGCCUGUGGAUGGAGCCACUGCUACCAUUUAGCAGAAGAGGAAGCAAAAGAUUGAAGGUUUUCUCAGGUGCCACGAUGGAGGAACAAAAGACUUGGCAGGUGUCACCCAAUUGUCUAGGCUCAUGGCACUGUGUCUCGUCUUUCUGGCACCUGUGAGGGCAGAACUGUCUUUGGGUCCCAACCCUCCUAAGCAUGGGAGGUUGUGGGUAUA
rnacentral:lncRNA from 1 species